UACGAAGGGGGCUAGCGUUGCUCGGAAUCACUGGGCGUAAAGCGCACGUAGGCGGGUCUUUAAGUCAGGGGUGAAAUCCUGGAGCUCAACUCCAGAACUGCCUUUGAUACUGAAGAUCUUGAGUUCGGGAGAGGUGAGUGGAACUGCGAGUGUAGAGGUGAAAUUCGUAGAUAUUCGCAAGAACACCAGUGGCGAAGGCGCUCACUGGCCCGAUACUGACGCUGAUGCGCGAAAGCCAGGGGAGCGAACGG
rnacentral:rRNA from 1 species